CAUGCCAACUCCACUAUGCUUUCUAUGCUUAUCUGCUAUCUUUCCUCCAUGAUUUGUCCUUAGGGCAGAGACAAUUAUUUGAUUUGCACAUUGUUCAUGACUAAUCUAUUACCACCAGCAGAGAAGUUCAGGACAUUUGGUUAAAUUAUUUCCACAAAGAUAACUCGCUCUAAAUCUUGAAACUGCCAAA